rnacentral:rRNA from 1 species
GACGAACGCUGGCGGCGUGCUUAACACAUGCAAGUCGAACGCUGAAGCUUGGUGCUUGCACUGGGUGGAUGAGUGGCGAACGGGUGAGUAAUACGUGAGUAACCUGCCCUUGACUCUGGGAUAAGCCUGGGAAACUGGGUCUAAUACUGGAUACGACAUGUCACCGCAUGGUGGUGUGUGGAAAGGGUUUUACUGGUUUUGGAUGGGCUCACGGCCUAUCAGCUUGUUGGUGGGGUAAUGGCUCACCAAGGCGACGACGGGUAGCCGGCCUGAGAGGGUGACCGGCCACACUGGGACUGAGACACGGCCCAGACUCCUACGGGAGGCAGCAGUGGGGAAUAUUGCACAAUGGGCGGAAGCCUGAUGCAGCGACGCCGCGUGAGGGAUGACGGCCUUCGGGUCGUAAACCUCUUUCAGCACGGAAGAAGCGAAAGUGACGGUACGUGCAGAAGAAGCGCCGGCUAACUACGUG